UUCGCAAUGCCCGAAAGGGUGACGAAGCGACGCCGCGUGUGGGAAGAAGGCCUUCGGGUUGUAAACCACUGUCGGGAGUUAGGAAAUGUGAGGGUGUUAAUAGUAUCCUUACUUGACUAAGGCUCCGGAGGAAGCCACGGCUAACUCUGUGCCAGCAGCCGCGGUAAUACAGAGGCGGCAAGCGUUGUUCGGAAUUAUUGGGCGUAAAGAGCACGUAGGCGGCCUUGUAAGUCAGUUGUGAAAGCCUUCUGCUUAACGGAAGAACAGCAGCUGAUACUGCAAGGCUAGAGUGCGGAAGGGGAGAGUGGAACUUCUGGUGGAGCGGUGAAAUGCGUAGAUAUCAGAAGGAACACCGGCGGCGAAGGCGACUCUCUGGUCCGUAACUGACGCUGAGUGUGCGAAAGCUAGGGGAGCAAACGGGAUUAGAUACCCCGGUAGUCCUAGCCGUAAGCGAUGGGCACUAAGUAGAGGGGUUUU
rnacentral:rRNA from 1 species